ACGAACGCUGGCGGCGUGCUUAACACAUGCAAGUCGAACGGAAAGGCCCUGCUUUUGUGGGGUGCUCGAGUGGCGAACGGGUGAGUAACACGUGAGUAACCUGCCCUUGACUUUGGGAUAACUUCAGGAAACUGGGGCUAAUACUGGAUAGGAGCUCCUGCUGCAUGGUGGGGGUUGGAAAGUUUCGGCGGUUGGGGAUGGACUCGCGGCUUAUCAGCUUGUUGGUGGGGUAGUGGCUUACCAAGGCUUUGACGGGUAGCCGGCCUGAGAGGGUGACCGGCCACAUUGGGACUGAGAUACGGCCCAGACUCCUACGGGAGGCAGCAGUGGGGAAUAUUGCACAAUGGGCGGAAGCCUGAUGCAGCAACGCCGCGUGCGGGAUGACGGCCUUCGGGUUGUAACCCGCUUUCGCCUGUGACGAAGCGUGAGUGACGGUAAUGGGUAAAGAAGCACCGGCUAACUACGUG
rnacentral:rRNA from 1 species